ACGUAGGGCGCAAGCGUUAUCCGGAAUUAUUGGGCGUAAAGAGCUCGUAGGCGGUUUGUCGCGUCUGCUGUGAAAGCCCGGGGCUCAACCCCGGGUCUGCAGUGGGUACGGGCAGACUAGAGUGCAGUAGGGGAGACUGGAAUUCCUGGUGUAGCUGUGAAAUGCGCAGAUAUCAGGAGGAACACCGAUGGCGAAGGCAGGUCUCUGGGCUGUAACUGACGCUGAGGAGCGAAAGCAUGGGGAGCGAACAGGAUUAGAUACCCUGGUAGUCCAUGCCGUAAACGUUGGGCACUAGGUGUGGGGGACAUUCCACGUUUUCCGCGCCGUAGCUAACGCAUUAAGUGCCCCGCCUGGGGAGUACGGCCGCAAGGCUG
rnacentral:rRNA from 1 species